UCGCUCUCUCUCACUUCUCUCUUCUCUCUCACCGCACUGCCGCCGCCUCUGCCUCUCACCUCCGCCGCCGCCCCAACACGCCUCACGCCGCCGCGUCCGUGCUCCGGCCUGUGCUCCGCCGCGCCCGUGCUCCGAAGGUGAUAAUAGAAUCAGUUUAGUGUGUCUAGUGUUGUUCAUUUUAGAUAAUGUGUGUUUAGGAUCGCAAAUGUGGCGGACGGAGAUGCAGAUCGUUACGAAGGACUUGGAUUAGGUUUGGCAAUGCGCUUCGGUUCUGGUUUGGCGGAAUCACUGUAAUCCGCAAUACCAGGCCUGGUAUUGAAGAACCUCAGUUUAAAUCCCAUUGACUUGACUAAAUCGUAUCCUAUUUUCCCUGCCCUCGGAACACAAUCAACGAUAGCGGGAAACAGUGAGUUGGAGAGUGUAAAGCAUCAAUUUGCCCUUUAUCAGUCAACGAUAUGGUUUUUAGCAUCAUUGGUGUAUAAUUCAAGUUACAAUACACGCUCACGUCAUUACUUUUGCUUCAGAAACCUGACAUCACAAAUGUGCUAUUUUUCUUAGGCGAUGCCAGGAACUGCAACCAUUGAUUUUCUAGGAAACUGUGCAGCAUGUUUCGUUAUGGAAUAAUAAGGAGUUCCAAAGCUUUGCUCAAAGCCUGUGGCCACCAUCUCCCUGCACUCAUUUACUUGUAGUGGACAAAAUACACCAAACAAUCUUCCCUGACGUUCCAAUCUUGCACAGUUAGUAUUUCUGUCGUCCGGGCACUUGUUUUGAGGAUCUGGCAAUUCAGUAAUUUGCUGCUUCUAGUUAUGAACCGAAGCAUUUCUUUCUUGCUGACAGUACGGGUGCUUCAAAAGUGUUGUAAAUUGCUUGGACCUGGAUCAUUGCCCGAAUAGGGUAAAAGCUGGGAAUAGAAGGUGUUGUGAUAAAUAUGCCUUUGUUUUCCAAGCUGUGAAAUGUAGUUUGACUUGAUCUUGUUUAACUUCACAACCACAUCACUCAUUGGGAUCCUUUCAUCAGGUGCAGCACUUGAACAAAGCAAGGCCAAAUCAAUUAUGGACGCUAGGCAGGUAUCCAAGAUGGUGAAGUUCCCAGGAGGUUUAUUUGCGUCUUGGAUACCAGUAUUAAGCUCCUCUUGUAUGCU
rnacentral:lncRNA from 1 species